rnacentral:rRNA from 1 species
UACGUAGGGUGCAAGCGUUGUCCGGAAUUAUUGGGCGUAAAGAGCUCGUAGGCGGUCUGUCGCGUCGGCUGUGAAAACUCGGGGCUCAACUCCGAGCCUGCAGUCGAUACGGGCAGACUAGAGUGCUGUAGGGGAGACUGGAAUUCCUGGUGUAGCGGUGAAAUGCGUAGAUAUCUGGAGGAACACCGGUGGCGAAGGCGGCAUCCUGGACCGGUAUUGACGCUGAGGCGCGAAAGCCAGGGGAGCAAACGGG